rnacentral:rRNA from 1 species
AUUGAACGCUGGCGGCAUGCCUAACACAUGCAAGUCGAACGACAGCACGGGGGGUUGCACCUGUUGGCGAUUGGGGCACGGGGGUGUAUUACAUCGAGACAAGUCCUGUAGUGGGGGAUGGUCACGUGAAGGCAGGAUUAAUACCGCAGACGAUCUACUGAUAAAAGCGGGGUACAUUGUGGCCUCGGGCUUUUGGGUCGCCUGUUGGCUGAUUAGCUAGUUGGUGGGGUAAUGGCAUACCAAGGCGACGAUCAGUAGCUGUUCUGAGAGGAUGACCAGCCACACUGGGACUGAGACACGGCCCAGACUCCUACGGGAGGCAGCAGUGGGGAAUUUUGGACAAUGGGCGAAAGCCUGAUCCAGCAAUGCCGCGUGUGUGAUGAAGGCCUUCGGGUUGUAAAGCACUUUUGUCCGGAAAGAAAUCCUUGGCCCUAAUACGGGCAGGUGAUGACGGUACCGGAAGAAUAAGCACCGGCUAACUACGUG